rnacentral:rRNA from 1 species
GUCUAUAGCCAUGCCACCCUGAACAAGCCCAAUGCCUAAUCUUGGAAGCUAAGCAGGGUUGGGCCUGGGUAGUACUUGGAUGGGAGACCACCUAGGAAGACCAGGUGCUGUAGACA